GGCCCCGUGUACCGGAUCGGAGUCGGGGGGAGCUCAGCCUCCUCCAUUGAGGUGCAGGGGGACAACGCCAGCGAGCUGGAUUUCGGGGCGGUGCAGCGGGGGGACCCCGAGAUGGAGCAGAAGAUGAACCGGGUGCUGCGGGGCUGCGUGGAGAGAGGGAAGGCCAACCCCAUCUGCAGCCUCCAUGACCAGGGAGCCGGGGGCAACGGGAACGUGCUGAAGGAGCUGAGUGACCCAGCCGGGGCCGUGAUCUACGCCAGCCGCUUCCAGGUGUGUG